CUGAACUCCAAGUUUCAACUGUUUUUCCCAAGCACUAUUUUGAAUCACCCACACGCGCAUUCGUUCCACCAAUUCAUAUAUAUAGGGGAGGGAUCCAUAGAGAAUACCACCCUACUAGAGAAUGAAGAAUAAUUCCCUAGCGUUAGAUCAAUCACAUCCUACGGAUCAGAUAAAACCGAAUUAUAAAAAAAAUGCGUUUUUAAAUACUGAAUUAAUUACUCCCGGAAGAGAAAGGGUUUAAAGGGAAUUUUACACAUCAGUAAAUCUUGAAUAUUCAAUGGAAUCCCUAUUUUCACUCGUCCACUUCUCCUAUUCACGGUUAAUCUAGAGGAAAUUAGAAUCUCAAAAGACAAAAAUCAAAUCUUCAGCCACCGUUCGUUUUCGUAGAAACAAUAUUGACGAAUCGAAGAAAAUUUGGAGAAAAACUUCGUCUUUGCUGCGGAACAAAAGAAGAUCGAAGAAGAUCUUGACAGAAGCAGAAAUCUUGAAGCAGCUGCAAUGGUCGAUGGAAUCGACGAAGGAUAGUUCUACUUGCGCUACUUGAGUUGAGGAGAGUUAUGUAGCAUUUUAGUGUGCUGCAUUAGGUUGUAAAAUUACUGAAAGAUUAUUCAAAUUUUAACCCAAUUUGAUUUUACUAUGUUUGUUCAUUGUUAUGUUGGUUUGUUCUUAUUAAUGUUCUGAAUAUCAUAUUCA